rnacentral:rRNA from 1 species
UACGUAGGGUGCGAGCGUUGUCCGGAAUUAUUGGGCGUAAAGAGCUCGUAGGCGGUGUGUCGCGUCGGCCGUGAAAACCUGGGGCUCAACUCUGGGCGUGCGGUCGAUACGGGCAUCACUAGAGUUCGGCAGGGGAGACUGGAAUUCCUGGUGUAGCGGUGAAAUGCGCAGAUAUCAGGAGGAACACCGGUGGCGAAGGCGGGUCUCUGGGCCGAUACUGACGCUGAGGAGCGAAAGCAUGGGCAGCGAACAGG